AGUAGAAAGUGGUUGAUGAUAGCAACAAAAGAACAAGAAAACAAUAAAGCAACUGUGACUUAGACCAAGAAGAAUAUGAAUGUGCAUUUAAAAGUCUCAGGAUGAACAGCUUCAAAAUUCAGCUUCUUGAGACAAAUGAGGUGCCUUUAUAGGGUGUCCAAUACAAGAAAAGCUGAUUGUAAGACUCCCCCCUUCUAAGCUGCUCUUACAACUUGUUGUUUCAAACUAUUUAAACCUUAGAUCUACGAUACUAUACCAAUGAAUAAAAAUACAACAAAGAAAAUGUCAACACUGCCCAUUUCCCUACUGUCUCAAAAAAUCAUGUAUUGUAAUAGAUUAAUAGUAUAUUUUUUGUAUAUAAUGAGAAAUCAUUUUUUUAAAAGCCACAUUCCACAAUGUUAUAUUUUUCUGAAUUUAAAAGUGAACUUUAUGUGAGAUGGACACUAGACACAGACUUCCUUUUUCCUAUACUGUUUUCUUCAACACAGCAAUUAUUACUCCAUACAACUCAAUACAAGAGCUUCUGCUAAUCAUAAUAUACAGUAUUUGCAGAAACCUAGAAGAUCCCUUCAAGGUGCAAAUGCUGCCUAUUCCAGUAGUAACUUCUUUCAUUCUAUUCUGUCCAUAUUGCAUUAAAUUCCAGGUAAUGACCUGAUUGAGUCCAAAGAGGCAGGGGAGACAGAGGGUGUGCUAUUCCCAGCUUUCUGUUGUCAGCCUCUUCCUACGACCUUUGGAAACUAACCAGGAAGUCAGAUGCUGUUCUCUGGAAAGAAAAUGUUCCAGAUCCAUUGGCAUUUGGCCCUUCAUCGGCUCUGCAAACGUAAUGUUGGCCUAUGGGAAAUAGAUCCAACCAGGGCCCCUGAAGAAAGGAGCCCAGAGCAGCCAGAUCUGCCUUGUCUGAAUUUCCUCCAGCAUCCUUUCCCUUCCCUCUGGUUUUACCCAAGGAGAGCAAGGUGGCAAACAUAUGGUUCCUUCCUGCUGCUUAAAUUUACGGAAACAGCCCUGCAAAGCAGAGGGCCUCCACCAUGACACCUACCACCAACGGAAGGGAGUUAUAUUGACAGAGGAGCAAAUCUGGAUCCAGCUCAUUGGCAGGAAGAGAAAUUGGUGGUGGUGGUGGUGGUGGUGGUGGUGACUGGUGGGCAUACCUGUGGUGAUGCUGAAAGCAAUAUCCAGUCAUUAGCCCUGCAACCCCUUCUUGGUAACACUUCAAUCUAUCUCCAUGAGCUGAAGAAAAUGCAGCAGAGAUUGAGUGAGAAGAAGCAGGGGAAAUGAACUCAG